AAUUCUAUAGUCAAAAAUGAUUUUAAAUUGCAAAUUUAAAGGUAAAGAUUUUCUUUUAGAAUUU
rnacentral:tRNA from 1 species